rnacentral:rRNA from 1 species
ACUCCUACGGGAGGCAGCAGUGGGGAAUCUUGCGCAAUGGGCGCAAGCCUGAUGCAGCAACGCCGCGUGAGGGAUGACGGCCUUCGGGUUGUAAACCUCUUUUAGCAGGGAAGAAGCGAAAGUGACGGUACCUGCAGAAAAAGCACCGGCUAACUACGUGCCAGCAGCCGCGGUAAU